rnacentral:rRNA from 1 species
UACGUAGGGACCGAGCGUUGUCCGGAAUCAUUGGGCGUAAAGAGCGUGUAGGCGGCCACUUAAGUCCUGCGUGAAAUCUUGCGGCUCAACCGCAAGCGGUCGUGGGAAACUGGGUGGCUAGAGUGCGGGAGAGGAGAGUGGAAUUCCUGGUGUAGCGGUGGAAUGCGCAGAUAUCAGGAAGAACACCCGUGGCGAAGGCGGCUCUCUGGAACGCAACUGACGCUGAGACGCGAAAGCGUGGAGAGCAAACAGG